UACGUGGGGGCCGAGCGUUGUCCGGAGUUACUGGGCGUAAAGGGCGCGUAGGCGGCCAGCACAAGUCAGUUGUGAAAUCUCCGAGCUUAACUCGGAACGGUCAACUGAUACUGUGCGGCUAGAGUGCGGAAGGGGCAACUGGAAUUCUUGGUGUAGCGGUGAAAUGCGUAGAUAUCAAGAGGAACACCUGCGGCGAAGGCGGGUUGCUGGGCCGACACUGACGCUGAGGCGCGAAAGCCAGGGGAGCGAACGGG
rnacentral:rRNA from 1 species